AUGCUUGCUUUGGCAGUGUAUAUCCUAAAAUCAGAACACUACAGAGAGGAUUAGCAUGGUCCUUUUGCAAGGAAUAUAUGCAAAUCCAUGGAGUACUUAAAAUAAAA